AACGGCCGCGGUACUCUGACCGUGCGAAGGUAGCAUAAUCACUUGUUCUUUAAAUGGGGACUAGUAUCAACGGUGCCACGAGGGCUUCCCUGUCUCCUUUUUCCAAUCAGUGAAACUGAUCUCCCUGUGAAGAAGCAGGGAUACUAAUAUAAGACGAGAAGACCCCAUGGAGCUUUAAACUCAACAGACAACCCGACACAUAUUUUUUCAUCUUAGUCAUCAAAAAGCCAUGUUUGUUAGUUUUAGGUUGGGGUGACCAUGGAGUAAAACUUAACCUCCACGACGCACGGGACUUGCUACUCCCUUAUCCAAGAGCCACGACUCUAAGAAUUAAAAUAUUAACGUAAAAUGAUCCAAGCAUUUGAUCAACGGACCAAGUUACCCUGGGGAUAACAGCGCAAUCCAUUUCGAGAGCUCCUAUCGACAAGUGGGUUUACGACCUCGAUGUUGGAUCAGGGUAUCCCAGUGGUGCAGCCGCUACUAAUGGUU
rnacentral:rRNA from 1 species